CGUGCCCUAGUUUUUCCCCAUUUCUGCUCUGAUCAACGCCGUGGAUUGUGGUCACUGGCCGACCACUGCAGGUGACGCUGUUGCCAGCAACAGUGGGUUACAACCGGAGGAGGAGGUCAAUUGGCCAACAACCCUAACUGUGCGGCAAAACCCCCCAUCCAGCAGUUUUUUUUUGCUCAAGAACGACUGAGGAUAAGGACUUUGACACGAGACGAGCAUCUUGACAUCGGAUUG